GACGAACGCUGGCGGCGUGCUUAACACAUGCAAGUCGAACGGAAAGGCCUGCUUUCCCUUGUGGAUUGCGGGUACUCGAGUGGCGAACGGGUGAGUAACACGUGAGGGAUCUGCCCCCAACUUGGGUAUAAGCCUGGGAAACUGGGUCUAAUUCCCGAUAGGACUGCAGGGUGGUGCCUGUGGUGGAAAACGAUUUUCUAGUGGUUGGGGAUGAGCUCGCGGCCUAUCAGCUUGUUGGUGGGGUAAUGGCCUACCAAGGCGGCGACGGGUAGCCGGCCUGAGAGGGUGGACGGCCACAUUGGGACUGAGAUACGGCCCAGACUCCUACGGGAGGCAGCAGUGGGGAAUAUUGCACAAUGGGCGGAAGCCUGAUGCAGCGACGCCGCGUGGGGGAUGACGGCCUUCGGGUUGUAAACUCCUUUCGACCGCGAGGAAGCCACCUGGUUGGAAGGGUGGUGACGGUAGUGGUAGAAGAAGCACCGGCUAACUACGUG
rnacentral:rRNA from 1 species